rnacentral:rRNA from 1 species
GCAAGGGCAGACGGUGGAUGCCUUGGCUCUCGGAGGCGACGAAGGACGUGAUAAGCUGCGAAAAGCCCGGGGGAGGCGCAAAUAGCCGUUGAUCCCGGGAUAUCCGAAUGGGGCAACCCGGCAGGCUGAAGGCCUGCCAUCCCGUAAGGGAGGCGAACGUGGGGAACUGAAACAUCUAAGUACCCAUAGGAGGAGAAAAUAAACAAUGAUUCCGUAAGUAGUGGCGAGCGAACACGGAAGAGCCCAAACCCAUGUCGUCUAGGCGACACGGGGGUUGUAGGACCACGACGUGGCAAGAUAGAGUCAAGUGGAACGCCUUGGAAAAGGCGGUCAUAGAGGGUGAAAACCCCGUACACGACUGACGAUUGAAGCCUAGUGGCAUCCUGAGUAGCGCGGGGCACGAGAAAUCUUGCGUGAAACAGCGGGGCCCAUCCCGUAAGGCUAAAUACUCCCGAGAGACCGAUAGCGAACCAGUACCGUGAGGGAAAGGUGAAAAGAACCCCGAGCAGGGGAGUGAAAUAGACCCUGAACCCGUCUGCCUACAAGCGGUCGGAGCAUAGCAAUAUGUGACGGCGUGCCUUUUGCAUAAUGAACCUACGAGUUACCUUCCCCGGCAAGGUUAAGUACCUAAGGUACGGAGCCGAAGCGAAAGCGAGUCUGAAGAGGGCGGCCAGUCGGGGGGGGUAGACGCGAAACCGAGUGAUCUACCCUUGGCCAGGUUGAAGGUUGGGUAACACCAACUGGAGGACCGGAUGGGUAAGCGUUGAAAAGCUUUCCAAUGAGCUGAGGGUAGGGGUGAAAGGCUAAUCAAACUCGGAGAUAGCUCGUACUCCCCGAAAUGCAUUUAGGUGCAGCCUCUUUAUAGUAUAUCGUGAGGUAGAGCGACUGAUUGGAUGCGAGGGCUUCACCGCCUAUCAAGUCCAGAUAAACUCCGAAUGCGCGAUAUAUAUUUACAGGGAGUGAGGGCGCGGGUGCUAAGGUCCGUGUCCGAGAGGAGAAGAAUCCAGACCACCGGCUAAGGCCCCCAAAUGAUCGUUGAGUUGAACUAACGAGGUCGGAUCGCAGAGACAGCUAGGAUGUUGGCUUGGAAGCAGCCAUUCAUUUAAAGAGUGCGUAACAGCUCACUAGUCGAGCGAUCUGGCGUGGAUAAUAAUCGGGCAUAAACGAUCUGCCGAAGCCGUGGAUGUCGUAAGACAUGGUAGGGGAGCAUUCCAUGCGGCGUCGAAGAUGAGGGAUGACCCUUGUUGGAGCGCAUGGAAAAGCAAAUGUAGGUAUGAGUAACGAUAAGGGGGGCGAGAAACCCCCCCGCCGAAAGACCAAGGUUUCCUGAUCAACGCUAAUCGGAUCAGGGUGAGUCGGGACCUAAGGCAAAGCCGAACGGCGCCGCCGAUGGAAGAAUGGGUUAAUAUUCCCAUACUGCCUCAUGGAGUGACGUGGAGACGGAGAAGUGACAGUCCUGCCGGCUGACGGAAUAGCCGGUUGAAGGGUGUAGAUAUUGAUUCCCGUAGGCAAAUCCGCGGGGAGAGUCGAACCUGACAGUAUACCGAGUACUUGUACGAGGUAAUAUGGACGUAACCAUGCUCCCAAGAAAAUCCGCUAAACUUAUCCAUGCGGCACCCGUACCGUAAACGGACACACGUGGUCGGGUUGAGAAUACUGAGGCGCUCGAGUGACUCACGGUUAAGGAACUAGGCAAAUUGACCCUGUAACUUCGGGAUAAAGGGUCCUCGUCGUAAGGCGAGGCGCAGAGAAUAGGUCCAGGCAACUGUUUAACAAAAACACAUGGCUGUGCUAAAUGGAAACAUGACGUAUACAGCCUGACACCUGCCCGGUGCUGGAAGGUUAAGAGGAGAUGUCAUCGCAAGAGAAGCGUUGAAUUGAAGCCCCAGUAAACGGCGGCCGUAACUAUAACGGUCCUAAGGUAGCGAAAUUCCUUGUCGGGUAAGUUCCGACCUGCACGAAUGGUGUAAUGAUCUGGACACUGUCUCAACCGUGAGCUCAGUGAAAUUGUAGUAUCGGUGAAGAUGCCGAUUACCCGCGAUGGGACGAAAAGACCCCGUGAACCUUUACUAUAGCUUUACAUUGAAUUUGGGCAGACGAUGUGUAGGAUAGGCCGGAGGCUUUGAAGGGGGUACGCCAGUAUCCUUGGAGCCGCCGUUGAAAUACGGCCCUUCGGUUGUUUGAGUUCUAACUCCCGGAUGGGAGGACACUGUAUGGUGGGUAGUUUGACUGGGGUGGUCGCCUCCAAAAGCGUAACGGAGGCUUCUAAAGGUGCCCUCAGACCGAUUGGUAACCGGUCGCAGAGUGUAAUGGCAUAAGGGCGCUUGACUGGGAGAGAUACAACUCGAUCAGGUAGGAAACUAGAGCAUAGUGAUCCGGUGGUUCCGCAUGGAAGGGCCAUCGCUCAAAGGAUAAAAGGUACUCCGGGGAUAACAGGCUGAUCAUUCCCAAGAGCUCAUAUCGACGGAAUGGUUUGGCACCUCGAUGUCGGCUCGUCACAUCCUGGGGCUGGAGAAGGUCCCAAGGGUUGGGCUGUUCGCCCAUUAAAGUGGCACGCGAGCUGGGUUCAGAACGUCGUGAGACAGUUCGGUCUCUAUCUAUCGUGGGCGCAGGAGAUUUGAGGGGCUCUGACACUAGUACGAGAGGACCGUGUCGGACGUACCACUGGUUUACCGGUUGUCCCGCCAGGGGCACCGCCGGGUAUCUAAGUACGGAUCGGAUAAGUGCUGAAAGCAUCUAAGUACGAAGCCGGCCUCAAGAUUAGAUCUCCCUCAAGGGUGGUUAUAGACGAUGACCUUGAUAGGCCACAGGUGUAAGGGCGGCGACGUCCGAGCCGAGUGGUACUAAUAGCCCGGGACUUUCCUCA